GCCUCGUGACGUGACAGUUUUUUUUUUCAAACUGAGGUGAGGAGUUCGGACUCCGGACCGGCAUUUCUGCUUGUUUGUACCCUGAGAUAACCAUGGUUAAUAAAUGGUCAGACACGUCACUGGCUUUAAAAUAUAAACCCCAUUGAUGCAAAAAGAUGCUGCAUGGAAUGACAAUGUGGUUUGGAACAGACUUGGUGAAGAACAUGGAAACAUCUCUUAAUAAAAUGGCCCCAAACAUCAUCAGGAGUGCAAAAGAAGGAAGUAAAAAACAUCUCUACGCCAAUCUCAUUGGAGAGGAAACCACAGAAGGUCUGGUGAGGAAUGCUGCACUUAUGUUAUUGCAAGCAUUAUUUCAAGAAAAUCCCAGCUUCCUUUACUGUGUAAAUAGUGAAGCCAAAGGUCCCACACCAACCAUAGUGUUCAACGGCUCUCCUGAUCUUUUCAAAUCUGAAUGUAUCAACUUUAUAAUGGACAAUGUAAACUUAAUAUGUGGAAGACAUUGACAUCACAGGCUGUGGAAUGACUGUGUCACAGGUCGGAGAAGCGGACCGCCCCUGUCGCAGAUCACGCUCCUUCUAGUUCGACCUCGAGGAGGUCCCAAAGCACCCCAAAUGACCAGACAAACCAGAGAUAAGUAAAAUAUAGAAAUAGAAACUUUAUUUAAAUUAUUUAAAACUAAAGUGGGGAAUGGGAAAGGGAAUCUAAAAAUCUCGCUUCUCGCCCUCAGGGGGAGUAUUACGGGGCCAGGGACGUUGGAGGGGUUUCCACGUGACUUUAGCUGGAACACCGCUACAGAGCGUAUCUGGGUGGGUUGGGCACACACCGUCGCGGCGGCCCCUGAUGGCAUCCACAAAGGUCCAAGACCCUCCUAAGCUCCCAGCCGUAGCAGAACUACGUAUUUCAGCACCCGAAGGACUAACAACCCAGCCGGCAUCUGCAGCGUAUAUCCAACGCGAUCAAACUUCACUCUGACAAGUAACUUCCUAUACACAACCACGCCGUCCUUUCGCCCGGACCAGCCCCGCACUCUUUCCGCCCGCUACCUAGCGGUCGCCGGAUCAGCAGAGCCUGCGGACUCUUCGGAGGCUGGUCUUCGUUGUGCUGCCCAAGGCGGAAGUUUACUUCCAGUAACUUCUACCUUCUCUCUUUAUAUCCUCCCCCACUCACACAGCUGUGCCUUGUUUCAGCGAGUGCGGGGAUUCCCGGGGAACCCGGAAGUGCCGGUGUCUGUACAAACCGGUCCGGGCGGAACCUCUUCACUCUCCUUUUGGUUCCGCCCCGCAUAGUCACUCCGUGACAACUGUUUGCGUUUUUUUUCUCCUCAAUGUUCAAUACCCUUUUGCCAUUAAGCACACAGUGACUUUAAUUUAUAAAAUAUAUGCUUAAGUUUUAAUACCUGUACAAAACAAAUGUACAAUCAACUUGUGUAAAUUGUCAUUCUAUUUAAUAGAUUGUUCAUGAAUUGUCUUUAAAUGCAUUGUGAUUUCGGUAACACUUUACAAUAAGGUUCAUUAGUUAACAUUAGUUAAUGUAUUAACUAACUUGAACAAACCAUGAGCAAUACAUUUGUUACAGUAUUUAUUCAUCUUUGUUAAUGUUAGUUAAUUCAAAUUUAAGCUUUAAUUGCUUGUUCAUGUUAGUUCAGAGUGCAUUAACUAAUGUUAACAAGAUUGUUGAAGUUAACAUUAACAAAGAUUAAUAAAGGCUGUAUAAGUGCAGUUCAUUAUUAGUUCAUGUUAACUAAUGAACCUUAUUGUAAAGUGUUACCGUGAUUUAUUUUCAUCAUUUCAGACACAUGUAAAAGUUACUAAAAAUUAGUACUGCAUAUAUUGUACAGUAUCUAUGCGUAAGGGAAAUAACUUGAACAAAAUUUUUAAUGUAUAGUGUAAUUAAGAGUUUAGCUGUUUAAUACAGAGAUGCAAUUUAUUUAUAUAUAUUAUUUAUAUAUAAACGUAUGUAUGUUUAUUAAAAAGUAAAAAUGCUUAAUGGAAAUAAUUAAAUAACUAAAUGGUUGAAUGUAAUGAGACAUUUUAAAUGUAAACUAAAGUUUUGCUGUCUAAUACAGAAUAAAGAGAAGUGAUUUUAAGUAA